UACGAAGGGGGCUAGCGUUGCUCGGAAUCACUGGGCGUAAAGGGUGCGUAGGCGGGUCUUUAAGUCAGGGGUGAAAUCCUGGAGCUCAACUCCAGAACUGCCUUUGAUACUGAAGAUCUUGAGUUCGGGAGAGGUGAGUGGAACUGCGAGUGUAGAGGUGAAAAUUCGUAGAUAUUCGCAAGAACACCAGUGGCGAAGGCGGCUCACUGGCCCGAUACUGACGCUGAUGCACGAAAGCGUGGGGAGCAAACAGG
rnacentral:rRNA from 1 species